CUCUGACCACACGGGUGCCCACGCAUGGGCUGAGAUCAGGCUGACGCGGCCUGCGACCGUCGAACCUGUCCGGGUAAUGCCGGCGAAGGAAGUGAGCCUGAUAUGGGU
rnacentral:ncRNA from 2 species